rnacentral:rRNA from 1 species
AUUGAACGCUGGCGGCAGGCUUAACACAUGCACGUCGAGCGAGCGGCGGACGGGUGAGUAAUGUCUUGGAAACUGCCUGAUGGAGGGGGAUAACUACUGUAAACGGUAGCUAUUACCGCAUACCAUCAGCUUUGCCCAGAUGGGAUUAGCUAGUCGGUGGGGUAAUGGCUCACCUAGUCGACGAUCCCUAGCUGGUCUGAGAGGAUGACCAGCCACACUGGACCUGAGACACGGUCCAGAAUCCUACGGGAGGCAGCAGUGGGGAAUAUUGCACAAUGGGCGCAAGCCUGAUGCAGCCAUGCCGCGUGUGUGAAGAAGGCCGUCGGGUUGUAAAGCACUUUCAGCGAGGAGGCGUUACUCGCAGAAGAAGCACAGGCUAACUCCGUGCCAGCAGCCGCGGUAAUUC